rnacentral:rRNA from 1 species
AAGUACCUUCGGGUGCGAGUAGAGCGGCGGACGGGUGAGUAACGCGUAGGAAUCUACCUAGUAGAAGGGGAUAGCCCGGGGAAACUCGGAUUAAUACCGUAUACCUCCUCAGGGAGAAAGAGGGCUUAGCUUUGAUGCUCUCGCUAUUAGAUGAGCCUGCGUAAGAUUAGCUUGUUGGUGAGGUAAUGGCUCACCAAGGCGACGAUCUUUAGCUGGUCUGAGAGGACGAUCAGCCACAUUGGGACUGAGACACGGCCCAGACUCCUACGGGAGGCAGCAGUGGGGAAUAUUGGACAAUGGGCGCAAGCCUGAUCCAGCCAUACCGCGUGUGUGAAGAAGGCUUUCGGGUUGUAAAGCACUUUAAGUAAGGAGAAAAAGAUUGUAGUUGAUACCUGCAAUCCGUGAUGUUACUUACAGAAUAAGGACCGGCUAAUUCCGUGCCAGCAGCCGCGGUAAUACGGAAGGUCCAAGCGUUAAUCGGAAUUACUGGGCGUAAAGCGCGCGUAGGUGGUUUUUUAAGUUGGAUGUGAAAGCCCUGGGCUC